CAGGACUCACCUUCAGGCGUCUCUGAGGAGAAGGUCCAGGUGGUGCAACCUGAAAAUCCUUGCAAGCUGGAGUGUGCAAUCCCGGAUCGACAGGGGGCGGGGCGCAGAAUGAACACAUGACGGGAAAGUAAGCUAUGAGGGCCGGAGCUUCAGGAGGUGACUUACAGGACGGAAGCUGCAUGCUAAGGAUGUAGAAAAAGAGAUGAAAGGAAGGAGCCCAGAUCCUCGACGGCAUUGCGGAGCAGCCACACCAGC